GGCUGCGACAGACAGACCGUGAUAGAGCUGCUGAUGGCAAACUGCACAGCACAUGAGGGCCAUCUGUGCGGCCCUGAUAACACCACUGUGCCUGGGUAUAGGAACAGCACUGCAACAACAUCACUACAGUGAGGCUGGAGAUAAUAUGGCCAUGCUACAUUUAUGGUACCAUUCCUCAACAAGCUGCUAAUGACCUGCACUAAACACAGCAAAGCCAGCGGGAGACUGCUUCAGGGCAGGCGCAUAAAAACCGGACCAUGAAGACAGGGAUUUCAACAAUAUGUGGUUUAGUACAAGACAUUUCAACAAGACAAAUGGGGGUCCUGUUAGCAAAAGAGUUUGAAUUCCUCUAAACAUCUCAAGCUGGGACAGGAUAUUUAACUAAAAGGAUGAAUCCCACUCCUCCUAAUGAUGCUCAGUGAUGAGAUGACAGGACAUACAGAUCAGCAGCACACAAUCUGACAUCAUCAGAACAGUCAUGACUCCUUCACUUAGGUCUUGACAUCUUCCAGACUAUAGAGAUGUUAACAGCUUUCCUAAAAUGUCAGUAAGAGUACCUUUAAGACUAGAGAUGUUAACAGCUUUCCUAACAUGUCAGUAAGAGUACCUUUAAGACUAGAGAUGUUAACAACUUUCCUAACAUGUCAGUAAGAGUACCUUUAAGACUAGAGAUGCUAACAGCUUUCCUAAAAUGUCAGUAAGAGUACCUUUAAGACUAGAGAUUUUAACAGAUUUCCUAACAUGUCUGUAAGAAUACCUUUAAGUGGAUGCCCAUGAAAUUGCAACUUCCCCAUAUCCCUCUGCAGCAUUGUCAGCUAUCAGUACAGUAGUGCUGGUAAGAGUGGCACAAGGCCACCACAGUCUUUUCCAAAUGUUUGGGCAUCCUCUGUAAUGUGUUCGAUUGGAAGGUUUACAGUUUACCCUCAGGACAGGAGGGACACAGAACCCAAAAGAGCACACACACACACCCCUCUCCCCUCUCCUCACCUCUCUUCUCCUCUCCUCCAGUGUCCUCAUUAAAAUAAGAGUUGGAGAGUUGAUCUACAUGGCACAGGGCAAAUGAGGUGUCCACCCUGCCAGGGCUCUUCAGUUACUUGUAUGCCUCACAAUACCUGAGACAGUUCAGACGCCACAACGGCAAGAUGUCCACUAUCUCCUGCUGUUAAGUAUUCUUUGACUUUUUAAUCACAGUUAUAAUGUUGAUGCUGCAGGGAGGGACCAUCUGGUAAGGAAGCUCCGCAACCACCAUAAAAAUCGCCUGCAUCGUUUGCAUUGUGCUUACUGAUUUGCAAGAUGCUGAUGUGCGCUUCAAUUACUUGCAAACUAUGUUUACCUUUUAAACACCACUGAGGCUAUGCAGAUGUGAAAUCUGAAUGUUUCUUCUACUUUCCACAAGAAACUAUUGUGUAGCUUUUGGUGGUGGUUACUAGUGUGGUCCCCCCAUCCAUGUGACGCGCUUUGAGUAUCGAGAAAAGCGCUAUAUAAAUGUAAUGUGUUGUUGUUGUUGUUGUUUUCAAUCACACAGACAAUAUUCACUUCAGAAAAGACAGACGAGAAGCUAAUGAAAAAUAAAUAAGGUCAAACUGU